UACAGAGGGGGCAAGCGUUGUUCGGAAUUACUGGGCGUAAAGGGCGCGUAGGCGGCCCGCUAAGUCGAACGUGAAAUCCCCGGGCUCAACCCGGGAACUGCGUCCGAUACUGGCAGGCUUGAAUCCGGGAGAGGGAUGCGGAAUUCCAGGUGUAGCGGUGAAAUGCGUAGAUAUCUGGAGGAACACCGAUGGCGAAGGCGGCAUCCUGGACCGGCAUUGACGCUGAGGCGCGAAAGCCAGGGGAGCAAACGGG
rnacentral:rRNA from 1 species